UUAUCCCUUUCAACUAAAUCGAGAGUAUUAUGUGGGUUCUAUGAUGAUUGGUGUGAGAUCUUUGAUUGUGACUGGGAUUUUCACGACAUGGGUUCGAUCAGGAAAUUAUGGAACGAAGGUUUGAAUGUUUGCCGUCUUCUUAUGGGGUUUACUCGAAAUUUCGAGGUACCUUUUUGGUCGGUUUGGAUUGAGGUACGAUUGAAGUUUCUCUGGAUCUAGAGGACGAGCUGAAAGGGAAGGAGGAAGAUUCAGCGGAUUCGAUAACGAUCUAUAAGACAGAGGAGCGAUCUCUGUGGAGGCACAAGAGGGAAGUAGAUUUUUUGUUGCGGAGGAUAUUUGCAAUCAUUUUCAUGGAAAGUUGGGGCAAACUAAGUUGACAAAAGCUAUUACAAGGUUUAUGUGUUUUUGCAGUUGCAGUGAGUAUAUAACAACGGGGAGAACGGGAAAAAAAAAAACUGAAAAGGUUUGUUUUCGAACAAGGUGGGUGUUCUCGUUAUGUUUGUGUUUCACUGGGUCUUGAACACUGAAGAGAAUAUUGAAGUACGAUGGUUUUAUAAGAGAGGUUUAUAUAGCUAGGACUAGGAGCCAAUGUACAAGUCUCGGCAUGAUGAGUUUGGUUACAUUCAGUGGGUCUGACAUUAAGGUUAUCUAUGCUUACUGGAAAAAGGCUUUAUCAAUGGACUAGGUUCUGGAUACAAUGGUAUAUGUUGCUGCACCUUAAAGGGAAUCCUGGGAUCAAAACUAUACUAAAAGGAGCAAAAGAAGCCUUCUUACAACAUCCACGUCGGACAGGAAAUUCGACCAAUAGAGAUGAAGCAUUCUUCCACGUCAUUUAGUAAUGGCUUUGGGUUGGGCUUUUGUUCAGACAGGUUUGCUUUCGGUUGGGCUUAGUUUGUUUAGAAGCCAUCGUCAUCUUCGCUACCACUUCGUCUUCUUCCCUCCGAUCCCGUAGAAACUGAUCCCCCUCUACACAAUCAAUCCCAUCCUUUACUUCGAUCAAUCAAUUUCGUUUUGAUGAUUUCGUUUCAGCUCCCUCUGUUCCUCCUUCUUUAUAUACUGAUCCUCUUUACUUUGUACAAACCCAAACCCUGUUUAUAUGAUCAUUUUUUACUGAUUUAAAUUUCAGCUUUCUGCCGGCAAAUGUCUCGUCGCCUUCCAUUUCAACGACGUCUCACCAGGACUUGCCGAGUCAGAGCUUCGAUUUUGGCUAAUCCAGUUGUGGGAUGGAUCCUUAGAACCAGGGGAGGGGGGUCUAGGUUCCUGCUUUGAAAGAAUCGUGAAGAGGUUUAUUCCAGGUUUCACGUAUUCUAGAUUGUUAAGAGUUCUGGCGUUUUCUUCAAAUAUGCUGCAUCCGGUUAAGCUCAUGAUCUGAAUGAUACCCAGUUUACUAAACUGGAUGAGCUCUUCACUCAGACCCAACUCUACUCUGAAUUUCUUCUUGAGAAAAUGGAGGAUAUCACAAAAAAUGGGACAGAAGGUGAGACCCAAAAAGCUGAGCCCGAGAAGAAAGGAGGUCGUGGACGCAAAAGAAAUGCCGCUACUCAGGUGCUGUGGAGAUGAGAUGGGUUGAUACAUAUUUUCCAUUUACUGAGCUUUCGAGCUUUCGAUAUAUUUUUAAGGAAGACUGGUGAGAAGUUUCGGGCUGUGGGGUGACAGAACAAAGAAUUUUGAAGCAGAGUGGAUUAGAAAAUAAUGCUGCUUGGGACUUUGGACUUGGACUUAAUAGAAAGACUCAAAAAAGACCUGCAAUUACAUACCUUUGAACCCUCGCCGUUGCUACAAGUAUACUAAGAGGAGGCGUUGCAGGGCUUGAAUUUGACAACCAGGGAGUAUUCGUAGUCUGUCACAUGAUCAGGAUGCUUGACUGUUCAUGACUUUGACACUCAAUAUUACCGCAAUAACGCCAAGGCAGUUGGAAUACCUGUUAAGGAGUUGAAAGUGUUCUCCAAGAUCUUUUAAAGGAGAUCACCAUGCUUUUAACCUUUAACAAACUUCAGUGAAAAUUAGCAGCUUUACAAGUGUGGGGAUACAAAGUCUGCAAGAGGUAUUAUGCCCUGCGAGAACUUAAGAAACUGAUUGAGGUGGCAGAGAAGCUCCGUGAGAAGAGGUGGCCUUGAAAAUUCGGUUUAGAUUAGUUUCUGGUUUAGAUUGAGUUAGAUUUUUUUUUUUAAUUUGGUUUAGUGUAAACAGAUUAUUUUGGUUUAGUUUGAU